UCCUCCCCAGCCGUGCUUCCUGCACUGCAUGUGGAGCCAUGAGCCAACUAAACCUCUUUUCUCUAUAAGUUACCCAGUCUCAGGUAUUUCUUUAAAAAUGUGCGAACAGACUAAUACAUGCUUAACUACUUUUUAUCAAGUAAAUCCCCAUACAAAGGAAUUGCCAUUGUCAAGUGGCAGCCACAGGAGGUGGACCGUGUGUCAGGAGAGGCUGGAAUAGAGGAAAAGAAGAGAAAAGACAAAAAGAACCAAACAAGUGAAAAACAUGAAACAUGAAUUUGAAAGUUUCAGAUUUAUUGGCUAAAUUAUUUUUAGAUCUACUACCUUGAAGGGUGGAGGUUUUCUAAGGCUAUUGUGUCAAUAUUAGAAACCUCAGAGUGACAUCUGCAUCACAGAGAUAAAAUUACACAGAAGAAAUAUGCAACCAGGGAGCACUGAACUAUUUUGUUUGGAGCCGGUUGAGCUUGAAAUGGAUUUUAGAAAAUGUGGUCCCAUUCCUUACUUUGUAGUUAGACAUAUCUUAUACAUAGCUAUUAAAAAUAAACAAAGCCACAUAUUUGAAUUGCUUCCACAUCCCAAGUCUUUUUGAAAGAAGUUUAGAGUCUUGAUAAGAUUAUUUUCAGAUACCUUAGCACUUGUAUGAAGAUAACAAAUAAAUUGUUUAAAUAAGGACCUCAGGUGAGGAUUGUAGCCCAAAUCCUAUAUUGUGUUCUGUGUUUAGAAAACAUUGAAAAAGCAGUUAUCAUACUGUAGAAUGUCUGCUUUAACCAAUAGAGCUAUAUUGAUUCCUAUGAAUUGUGAUUUUUUAAUGUAAAUUUAAGUUUUCUUUCCACAGACACAUUCUUAUACAGCUUUUUCCCAUUUCUUGUACAACAGUCUUACACAAUUUUUGCUUUACAGAUUAGAAAACUUUACAGAUUAUAACUGUACAGAUUAGAAAACUAAAAGUCAGCGUAGUGAAAUGACUUGCCAUCAUAUAAAAAGUAUGGAAAGAUAAGUAUUAAAUUAUUAGUUUCAUCUCAGUUAAAAUGUAAAGACAGUACUGCUCA
rnacentral:lncRNA from 1 species